rnacentral:rRNA from 1 species
CGAGGGGUGCAAACGUUAUUCGGAUUUAUUGGGCGUAAAGGGUGCGUAGACGGCACACUAAGUCAACUGUUAAAUCUUCCGGCCUAACCGGAAGCCUGCGGUAGAUACUGGUGAGCUUGAGGAUGGAAGAGAGAAGUGGAAUUCUCGGAGUAGCGGUAAAAUGCGUAGAUCUCGAGAGGAACACCGAUGGCGAAGGCAGCUUCUUGGUCCAAUCCUGACGUUGAGGCACGAAAGCGUGGGUAGCAAACAGGAUU